CAGUAACAGAAGUGAUCAGAUUCUGGCUGUGGUGGUGGCAUUGAAGCUGUUGAACUCUUCAUCCUUGGCAACACGUCUGUGACAUCACCUCUGAGACAGUACACUGAACAAAAUGUCUUCUGGGUACCUGAUGACAGUACUUCUCUGCAGCUGUUUGGGGGAUUUAAUGAACUAAUUCUGUGUUGUUUGUAAUGUGGUGAGCACGAGACAUUUCUGGAACCCAACGGCUGCUCAUCAAUGACCCUCAGCUGCUCCUCCCAUGGGUGAGAAGACAGACUGUCUUGGGAAAGGGUGAGUUCGUCGUCCCAUCCUAUUUCUGAGUUAUCCACAGAGCAAUUGUG
rnacentral:lncRNA from 1 species